AUUGAACGCUGGCGGCAGGCCUAACACAUGCAAGUCGGGCGAGUGGCGGACGGGUGAGUAAUGUAUGGGAAUCUGCCUGAUGGAGGGGGAUAACUACUGGAAACGGUAGCUAAUACCGCAUACCAUCAGAUGAACCCAUAUGGGAUUAGCUUGUGGGUGAGGUAACGGCUCACCAAGGCGACGAUCCCUAGCUGGUCUGAGAGGAUGACCAGCCACACUGGAACUGAGACACGGCCCAGAAUCCUACGGGAGGCAGCAGUGGGGAAUAUUGCACAAUGGGCGCAAGCCUGAUGCAGCCAUGCCGCGUGAAUGAAGAAGGCCUUCGGGUUGUAAAGUACUUUCAGUCGGGAGGCGUUACCUACAGAAGAAGCACCGGCUAACUCCGUGCCAGCAGCCGCGGUAAUUC
rnacentral:rRNA from 1 species